rnacentral:rRNA from 1 species
UACAGAGGGUGCAAACGUUGUUCGGAAUUACUGGGCGUAAAGCGCGUGUAGGCGGCUAUGCAAGUCGGAUGUGAAAUCCCGCGGCUCAACCGUGGAAGUGCACUCGAUACUGCAAAGCUAGAGUCCUGGAGAGGAAGGUGGAAUGCUUGGUGUAGAGGUGAAAUUCGUAGAUAUCAAGCGGAACACCGGUGGCGAAGGCGGCCUUCUGGACAGUGACUGACGCUGAGACGCGAAAGCGUGGGGAGCAAACAGG